UCCUUGAAUUUUGGGAACACUGUGGAGGGGCAGAGCUGGAGUCACUCAUUGCUCCAGGGAGCUGCAUUGCUCUCCUUACACCAUUAUUAUUUUUCUAAAGAGAAAGAGCCAAGGCAGGUUUUGUGUCCCCCCAGCCCCCCAAAUGCAGCACAGACACCUUUUCUCCCUCUCUGUUGCAGCCCCUGCGGAGGAGCCGCUCCUGGGCAGCAGCUCCAGCGAGAUGUCCCAGGAUGAUGACAUCAGAGUUUUCCUGGGACUGAGCCUCAGCAUGGUCGGAUUAGCCGUUCUUUUUGCAGUUGUGAUGUUUAAAAAAUCGGUCAGGAAAAGGACCAAGGCCACCCUGGUGUCCCUCUUGCCCAAGUGGGUGUUUGAAGACGUUCCCCACGUGGAGAACAGCGCCGUGGUGAAGUCACUGCAGGUGAGGGCAGAGUUCUCCCCCAGCUUUGCUUCCCCUUGGAUUAAAGCUCAGCUUUAUGGAAUUAUUCAGGUUGGAAAAUCCCUCUGAGACCAUCCCAGCACUGCCAAGGCCACCACUGCCCCUGUCCCCAAGUGCCACAUCCACGGGGAUUUUAAAUCCCUGCAGGGAUGGGGACUCCACCCCCGUGCCAGGGCUGCACAGCCUUUUCCACAAAGAAAUUUUCCCUAAAAAUCCAACCUAAAUCCCUCCUGGCACGACUUGGGGCCAUCUCCUCUGGAAACGUUCCCUGUGAGCUGGGAGAAG
rnacentral:lncRNA from 1 species